GACGAACGCUGGCGGCGUGCUUAACACAUGCAAGUCGAACGGAAAGGCCCUGCUUUUGUGGGGUGCUCGAGUGGCGAACGGGUUAGUAACACGUGAGUAACCUGCCCUUGACUUUGGGAUAACUUCAGGAAACUGGGGCUAAUACCGGAUAGGAGCUCCUGCUGCAAGGUGGGGUUUGGAAAGUUUCGGCGGUUGGGGAUGGACUCGCGGCUUAUCAGCUUGUUGGUGGGGUAGUGGCUUACCAAGGCUUUGACGGGUAGCCGGCCUGAGAGGGUGACCGGGCACAUUGCGACUGAGAUACGGCGCAGACUGCUACGGGAGGCAGCAGUGGGGAAUAUUACACAAUAGGCGGAAGCCUGAUGCAGCAGCGCCGCGUGCGGAAUGACGUCCUUCGGGUUGUAAACCGCUUUCGCAUGUGACGAAGCGUGAGUGACGGUAAUGGGUAAAGAAGCACCGGCUAACUACGUG
rnacentral:rRNA from 1 species